rnacentral:rRNA from 1 species
AUAUUGGCCAGAGACCGAUAGCGCACAAGUAGAGUGAUCGAAAGAUGUAAAGCACUUUGGAAAGAGAGUUAAACAGUACGUGAAAUUGUUGAAAGGGAAGCGCUUGCAAUCAGACUUGCGCGCUGUUGAUCAUCGGAGGUUCUCCCCCGUGCACUCGGCAGCGCUCAGGCCAGCAUCGGUUUGGGUGGUUAGAUAAAGGCCUUGGGAAUGUAGCUUCUUUCGGGGAGUGUUAUAGCCCUCGGUGCAAUGUACCCUACCCGGACCGAGGACCGCGCUUCGGCUAGGAUGCUGGCGUAAUGGUUGUAAGCGACCCGUCUUGAAACACGGACC